UUCACACGUCCGCAUGAUUAAAGGUAUUUUCCGGUAGACGAUGGGGAUGCGUUCCAUUAGAUAGUAGGCGGGGUAACGGCCCACCUAGUCAACGAUGGAUAGGGGUUCUGAGAGGAAGGUCCCCCACAUUGGAACUGAGACACGGUCCAAACUCCUACGGGAGGCAGCAGUGAGGAAUAUUGGUCAAUGGGCGAUGGCCUGAACCAGCCAAGUAGCGUGAAGGAUGACUGCCCUAUGGGUUGUAAACUUCUUUUAUAAAGGAAUAAAGUCGGGUAUGCAUACCCGUUUGCAUGUACUUUAUGAAUAAGGAUCGGCUAACUCCGUGCCAGCAGCCGCGGUAAUACGGAGGAUCCGAGCGUUAUCCGGAUUUAUUGGGUUUAAAGGGAGCGUAGAUGGAUGUUUAAGUCAGUUGUGAAAGUUUGCGGCUCAACCGUAAAAUUGCAGUUGAUACUGGAUGUCUUGAGUGCAGUUGAGGCAGGCGGAAUUCGUGGUGUAGCGGUGAAAUGCUUAGAUAUCACGAAGAACUCCGAUUGCGAAGGCAGCCUGCUAAGCUGCAACUGACAUUGAGGCUCGAAAGUGUGGGUAUCAAACAGGAUUAGAUACCCUGGUAGUCCACACGGUAAACGAUGAAUACUCGCUGUUUG
rnacentral:rRNA from 1 species